rnacentral:rRNA from 1 species
GAUGAACGCUAGCGACAGGCUUAACACAUGCAAGUCGAGGGGCAGCAUAAAAGUAGCAAUACUUUGGUGGCGACCGGCGCACGGGUGAGUAACGCGUAUGCAACCUACCUAUCAGAGGGGAAUAACCCGGCGAAAGUCGGACUAAUACCGCAUAGAACAGGGGCACCGCAUGGUGAUAUUUGUUAAAGAAAUUCGCUGAUAGAUGGGCAUGCGUUCCAUUAGGUAGUUGGUGAGGUAACGGCUCACCAAGCCGACGAUGGAUAGGGGAACUGAGAGGUUGGUCCCCCACACUGGUACUGAGACACGGACCAGACUCCUACGGGAGGCAGCAGUGAGGAAUAUUGGUCAAUGGGCGGGAGCCUGAACCAGCCAAGUCGCGUGAAGGAAGAAGGAUCUAUGGUUCGUAAACUUCUUUUGCAGGGGAAUAAAGUGCAGGACGUGUCCUGUUUUGUAUGUACCCUGAGAAUAAGGAUCGGCUAACUCCGUGCCAGCCGCCGCGGUAAAAC